rnacentral:rRNA from 1 species
AAUGAACGUUGGCGGCGUGGAUUAGGCAUGCAAGUCGCACGAGAAGCUUUUUUUGCUUGCAUUGAAAGUGGACAGUGGCGAAUGGGAGAGUAACGCGUGGAUAUCUGCCCUUAGACCCGGGAUAGCUGUGGGAAACCGCAGGUAAUACCGGAUAAUGUCUCCGGACCAAAGGUGUAAUUCCGUCUAAGGAUGAGUCCGCGUCCUAUUAGCUUGUUGGUGGGGUAACGGCCUACCAAGGCAAUGAUGGGUAGCGGGUGUGAGAGCAUGGCCCGUCUCACUGGGACUGAGACACUGCCCAGACACCUACGGGUGGCUGCAGUCGAGAAUCUUCCGCAAUGGGCGCAAGCCUGACGGAGCGACGCCGCGUGCGGGAUGAAGGCCCUCGGGUUGUAAACCGCUGUCAGUUGGGAGGAAAUGCUAUGGGGCACUCUCCAUAGUUUGACCGAUCUUCAGAGGAAGUCCGGGCUAAGUACG